AAGUCGUAACAAGGUUUCCGUAGGUGAACCUGCGGAAGGAUCAUUAACACGUAUCCAACGUUAAACAACCCUGUGAACUUUCAACGCUCUUGUAGCCCCAGAGGAACAGCAAUCCCGGUAAAUCAAUGGCGGAAAAGUUUUGAUUCGGGACCUCUGUCCAAAAGGUAUCAGUGGCAUGGUUUCCCUAAGCAGUGCAGAAGGAUCCACUGAGUAAGGAUAACGCAUCACGGUUGCCAGAGGUCGAUCACCGGCCGGCAGACAUGUCACAGGGCGCGCGCGCCCCCUCAUUCACCCCUUGCCCUCUCAAGCCUCGCGGAAACGCCGGGCAUAAAAACCGAACAACUGUUAACAAUGGAUAUCUUGGUUCUC
rnacentral:misc_RNA from 1 species